UACGUAGGCAGCGAGCGUUGUUCGGAAUUACUGGGCGUAAAGAGUGUGUAGGCGGUGCUCUAAGUUCGGUGUGAAAUCUCCUGGCUUAACUGGGAGGGUGCGCCGGAAACUGGGGUGCUCGAGCGUGGGAGAGGAAAGCGGAAUUCCUGGUGUAGCGGUGAAAUGCGUAGAUAUCAGGAGGAACACCUGUGGUGUAGACAGCUUUCUGGACCACUGCUGACGCUGAGACACGAAAGCGUGGGUAGCAAACAGG
rnacentral:rRNA from 1 species